UACGGAGGGUGCAAGCGUUAUCCGGAUUCACUGGGUUUAAAGGGUGCGUAGGUGGGAAUGUAAGUCAGUGGUGAAAUCUCCGUGCUUAACAUGGAACUGCCAUUGAUACUAUGUUUCUUGAAUCUUCCGGAGGUCAGCGGAAUAUGUCAUGUAGCGGUGAAAUGCUUAGAUAUGACAUAGAACACCAAUUGCGAAGGCAGCUGACUACAGGGGCAUUGACACUGAGGCACGAAAGCGUGGGGAUCAAACAGG
rnacentral:rRNA from 1 species